GUUUCGUUUUUGACAGCUGCACGAGCUGCGCGCUGCAUGUGUAUGUGUGUGUGCGAAAAUAUUAAUUGAUACCUUGUCGAUGCGAUGCAGUGCCGUGUGAAAUACAUCGGAGCUGUUUGUUUUUAAAAUUCAAACUAUUUAACACUUGAGACAAAAUUUGUGUUUCGGCGUUACUUGAUUUGCUAGGCUACCCAAAAAAAAGCGACGUGCAACGCACACCACAAAACACACACACAGCCAUAGAAAAAACGCACACACACCUAUGCAAGUGUAUUUGUAAUUUCGUACACUUAAGAAACGGAAAGAAAGCAAGCGAACACACGCAUACGGCGAAAAAAAUACGAAAAGAACACAAUUUUUUCGCAAAAGAGUUUCGGUUUCGGUACGGUGUUCGAUUUUCGGUUUGUUACAUAUACUCCGUGUGAUCCAACCUUGCCGCCCAUCGCCCACAAUAUCCUCCACCCAGCACCACCCUCAUUUGUUUUUUGUAAAUCGGGAGUUUUCGGAGAGCGAGCGGUCCGAAAAAUACAUUUAUUUUUAUUUACUGAUGACAGCAAGCACACGGAUAAGUAAGAUUUGUUUUCUACACAGCUAUACGAAAUUGAUCGAAAGAAAGAGAGAGAGAGAGAGAUAGAGAGGAAACGCCGCAUAGCGGCUGGAAGGGUGACCGAGCAAUCCAGUGAUCCAGUUAACAAAAUCCAGUGAGUCCUCAUCCUCCAAACGAUACCCAAUAACCGACAUCACCACCAACCACCACCACCGAUCCGAUCCUAUACCGAUCCUCCACGGAGGAGCUGCCGAAUUCAGCACCAUUCAAGUGCCGACUAAAAUGGAAAUAGAAACAGACCAGUCUAUUGAAGCAAUGGACACCCAGGACACUCAAGAGGUCGAGAUCCUCACCAGCGACCUCCAGCAGCAGCAACAACAACAACAGACACAACAGAAUUCGCCACCUCAAUUGCCCAAAUUCAAGAAUCUUAUCCAGCCACAAUUGCACGCCGUGGGUGCAGUUACCCAAUUGCCCAGCGAGAAUGGCAAUGUGCCUCCACAACAGCUUUUGGCAGACAGUAGCUCCACAUCAUUUGCCCCCGACGCCGAGGCCAUGGGCAUAGACGAUGAUUCUAAGGAGGAUCAAUUCCGUUCGGAGACCACAUUUUCCUAUACCGUCGAGAAUGUGGGUCAACUUAAAUCGCAGAGACUAUCGCCUCCAGUUUAUGUACGCAUGUUACCAUGGAAGAUCAUGGUCAUACCCAAUGAUCGAGCGCUGGGCUUCUUCCUUCAGUGCAACGGUGAAAAUGAUUCACCCAAUUGGUCGUGCAACGCCAUUGCUGAACUGCGUUUAAAAUGCCACAAGCCGGAUGCACCGCCCUUCACCAGAGCCCGCAUUAAGCAUUUGUUCUACUCGAAAGAGAACGACUAUGGGUACUCGAACUUUAUCACCUGGCUAGAGCUGCAGGAUGCCGAGAAGAGCUAUGUCCACAACAAUAGCAUAACUCUGGAGGUUCACGUUAUAGCGGAUGCACCACAUGGUGUUUUGUGGGACUCCAAGAAGCACACCGGCUAUGUUGGUCUUAAGAAUCAGGGAGCAACCUGCUAUAUGAACUCUCUGCUGCAGACAUUGUAUUUUACCAACUCAUUGAGAUUGUCUGUUUACCGCAUACCCACAGAGGCUGAUGAUAGUACCAAAUCGGUGGGAUUAUCUCUGCAGCGGGUGUUCCACGAACUGCAAUUUGGUGACCGUCCCGUGGGUACCAAGAAGCUUACCAAAUCCUUUGGCUGGGAGACACUUGAUUCGUUCAUGCAACACGAUGUUCAGGAAUUCCUUCGCGUUCUGCUUGAUAAGCUGGAAUCAAAGAUGAAGGGCACCACCCUGGAGGGUACCAUACCGGGUCUUUUUGAGGGCAAAAUGUCAUCAUACAUCAAAUGCAAGAACGUCGACUACAACAGCACACGCUACGAAACAUUCUACGACAUUCAGCUGAAUAUCAAGGACAAGAAGAACAUCUACGAGUCCUUCCAAGAUUACGUUGCCUCCGAGACACUUGAGGGCGACAACAAAUACGAUGCUGGUGUACACGGUCUACAGGAGGCCAGUAAGGGUGUUAUUUUCACUUCAUUCCCGCCCGUUUUGCAUCUGCACUUGAUGCGCUUCCAGUAUGAUCCAAUCACAGAUAGCUCGAUUAAGUACAACGAUCGCUUCGAGUUCUAUGAGAAGAUUAACCUGGAUAACUAUCUGGCCGAAAGCGAGAAGACCCCAGCGGACUACGUCCUGCACGCAGUGCUGGUUCACUCUGGCGAUAAUCACGGUGGUCACUAUGUGGUCUUCAUCAAUCCAAAGGCUGAUGGACGCUGGUUUAAGUUCGAUGAUGAUGUGGUCUCCAGUUGCCGCAAGCAGGAGGCAAUCGAACAGAACUAUGGCGGCAUGGAUGACGAGAUCUCAUUCCAUGCCAAAUGCAGCAACGCCUAUAUGUUGGUGUACAUCCGCGAAUCGGAGCUGGAACGUGUCCUCAGCGAUAUACCAGAGAGCGAGAUCUCCAGUGAUCUGGUGGAACGACUCGAUUUAGAGAAACGUAUCGAGAUGGCGCGCCGUAAGGAGCGCAGCGAGGCCAAUCUCUAUGUGUCGGUGCACGUGAUCCUUGAGGAGUCUUUCGAGGAUCAGCAUAAGCGUCGUCUCUUUGAUCUGGAAAAGGCCCAUCCGCGGAUCUUUAGGAUCAAGCAGAAUCAGACAGUCGACGAGCUGGUUGAUAUGUUUGUCAAGGGUUUCGGCGUGUCGCGCGAACGCAUGCGGAUCUGGAACAUGUGCACCGCUCAGACGCAGAAGUUCUUACACUUUGACUUCGAAGCGGAGGCGUCACGCACUAUCGAACAGAUCCCGACGUCACAGAAACCUUGGGUUAUUUGGCUGGAACUGGCCUGUCCCCACAAUCUUGGUCCCCUGCCGUCCUUUAAUCCAAAAACGGAAGUCCUACUGUUCCUUAAGUACUAUGAUCCGCGAAACAAGCGGCUGAACUACAUUGGUUGCACUCAGCAGCCACAUAGCCGCCGGUUAAUUGAACUGGUACCGGAGGUCAAUCAGAAACUGGGCUUUGAACCGGACACUGAGCUGACUAUUUAUGACGAGUACGCUGAUAAAAAGCUGGCCAAUCUAAACGAGCCCAUUGAGAGCGUGCUAUUCAUACCACAGGACAAUCUGCAGGGACACAUACUUAUUUUCGAGCGCGAGUGCGUGGACGCCAAGCUGGACCUGGCUACGGUAGAGGAUUACUUCCUUGAUCUGGUCUACCGCAUCGAGAUCAUAUUCAGCGACAAAUGCAACCCUAAUGAGCCGGACUUUACGCUGGAGCUGUCCAAUCGCUACAACUACGAGCAGCUUACCAAUGCGGUGGCCGAACGCUUGAACACCGAUCCCCAGAAGCUGCAGUUCUUUAUGUGUAUUAACAACUACAAGGAGACGGCGGGCAAUGCUGUGCCCUACACAUUUAAGGGCACCAUCAAGGACCUGGUAUCCUACACCAAUAAAAGUACACCGAAGCGAAUUUUCUACCAGCGCCUAUCCCUUAGCAUCCAUGAGCUGGAUAACAAGAAGCAAUUCAAAUGCGUCUGGGUGAGCAGCGAUCUCAAGGAUGAAAAGGAGCUGGUCCUGUACCCGAACAAGAACGAUACUGUGAAAGGUCUGCUGGAGGAGGCCGCGAAGAAGAUCACGUUUGCGGAAAAUAGCCGCCGCAAGCUGCGUCUAAUGAAGGUGAGCAACCAUAAAAUCGUGGCAAUCUGCAAGGAUGAUAUACCGCUGGAUACGCUUAUGAAGAGCAACGAAUCGCUCACGACCACACAGAGCGCUCAAAAGACUUAUCGCAUCGAGGAGGUGCCGGCGGAGGAGAUGCAGCUGGCAGAGAACGAGUUCCUCAUCCCAGUGGCCCAUUAUAGCAAGGAGCUGUACAAUUCGUUUGGCGUACCCUUCCUAACCAAAGCGCGCCACGGCGAACCGUAUGGUGCCCUAAAGCAACGCAUCCAACGGCGUCUCAAUGUGACGGACAAGGAGUGGGAGAAUUACAAAUUCGCUGUAGUCACCAUGGGCCCCAAUACGGAUGUCAACGACAAUACGCCCGUUGACCUGGAGGUGUAUCGUUCGUGGACUUCCGGCCAGUUACCCUUCUUUGGUUUGGAUCACAUCAACAAAUCCCGCAAGCGCAGCUCUCUUAACUUUUCCGAGAAGGCCAUCAAGAUAUACAACUAAAGGGUUUUUGGAGCAGUCUAUAAACUGGAUAAAGGAGCUGGAGCUGGAGCAGCAGUAGGAGCAGAAGCCAGGGCAGAAAGAAGUGAAUUCGAAGCGAAGCGAAUCAGUUACUUUUUUGUCUUAAUGUAAAUAAGCGUUCGUUGCAAGUUGCCCAUUAAAAAAAAAAAAAAAAAAACAAACAAACAAAAAACAAAACAUAUAUGUAACAAAGAGGAAGCGAAACUAAAGGAAAGCAAAGGAAGAACCGAAACUAAAAUAUAAAACAAACAAACAAAAGAUACAUAAUAUAUAUAAAUAAAUAUACGAAAAGAGAGAGAGAGAGAGCGAGAGCUGUAAACAACAAAAGAAAAUGCAACUAUGUAACAAGUAUAACUUUAAACAAAACAAAAAACAAUUAACAAAAGAGUCAUGAAGUUGCGCUAAAUGAGACAAAGAAAGAGAUAUAGUUGAUAUAAUCGAGCAGCAGAUCGAAAGAGAACGAGACAGAGAGCUAAGAAGAUGGAAAAUAUAAGAUUUGUUUCAAACAAUUAUUUGUGAUUUUUAAGCAUGAAAUGAUAAAAAAUGUAUGCAAAUGACUAGACAACAUAAUAUUAAUUAAUAAAUUACUAUAAUACACAGUUUAGUGCUUUUUCUUUUGUUAAUUAAAGCGAAGGAUCCAAGUUUCGAUUGAAAAAAAAAAAACAAAAAACGAAAAACAAACCAAUCAAAUGAGAAGAGCCCACAACAAAAAAAUAUUUUAAUAAUAUAUUACUAUGCUAUUAUUAU